UACCUGGUUGAUCCUGCCAGUAGUCAUAUGCUUGUCUCAAGAUUUAGCCCUGCAUGUGUAAGUAUGAACUAAUUUUAACUGUGAAA
rnacentral:rRNA from 1 species